rnacentral:rRNA from 1 species
GAUGAACGCUGGCGGCGUGCCUAAUACAUGCAAGUCGAGCGAACGGACGAGAAGCUUGCUUCUCUGAUGUUAGCGGCGGACGGGUGAGUAACACGUGGAUAACCUACCUAUAAGACUGGGAUAACUUCGGGAAACCGGAGCUAAUACCGGAUAAUAUUUUGAACCGCAGGGUUCAAAAGUGAAAGACGGUCUUGCUGUCACUUAUAGAUGGAUCCGCGCUGCAUUAGCUAGUUGGUAAGGUAACGGCUCACCAAGGCAACGAUGCAUAGCCGACCUGAGAGGGUGAUCGGCCACACUGGAACUGAGACACGGUCCAGACUCCUACGGGAGGCAGCAGUGGGGAAUCUUCCGCAAUGGGCGCAAGCCUGACGGAGCAACGCCGCGUGAGUGAUGAAGGUCUUCGGAUCGUAAAACUCUGUUAUUAGGGAAGAACAUAUGUGUAAGUAACCGUGCACAUCUUGACGGUACCUAAUCAGAAAGCCCCGGCUAACUACGUG